rnacentral:rRNA from 1 species
CCGGUGUCUCUUCCCACACCAAAGCGGGGCCAAGACGGGAGCGGCGCGGGGUGAGACCCUUUCCCCCGUCGUCCGACUCCCGGCCCCGUGGGUACCCGGCGAGCGCGGCAGUCCGGUGGUCCCUCUCCUCUCGGGGGGAGGAGGCCACCGCCUGUACGCAGGGGGGCGCAGGCCCGGGACUUGCCAUUAGACGCCGUCGCGCAAAUCUGUUGUUGGCCUCGCCGGCUCUGCUUGGGCUCUCGGUUGGCGGGCCGCGCGUCAGGCGGGCUUUAGGGCGGGGGCAUCCCCGUCCGGGUCCGUCCCGCGCGGUUUUGCCUUCCGAUCCUGCUCUGUCCGGAGUGGCCUAGCGCGCGUGCUGUCGGCAAGUACCAUGAGCAGACAUGUUGGGACCCGAAAGAUGGUGAACUAUGCCUGGCCAGGAUGAAGCCAGAGGAAACUCUGGUGGAGGUCCGCAGCAAUUCUGACGUGCAAAU